AUUGAACGCUGGCGGCAGGCCUAACACAUGCAAGUCGAACGCGUGGCGGACGGGUGAGUAAUGUCUGGGAAACUGCCUGAUGGAGGGGGAUAACUACUUGAAACGUUAGCUAAUACCUCAUACAAUCGGAUGUGCCCAGAGGGGAUUAGGUAGUAGGUGGGGUAACGGCUCACCUAGGCUACGAUCCCUAGCUGGUCUGAGAGGAUGACAAGCAAAACUGGAACGUAGACACGGUCCAGACUCCUACGGGAGGAAGCAGUGGGGAAUAGUGCACAAUGGGCGCAAGCCUGAUGCAGCCAUGCCGCGGGUAUGAAGAAGGCCUUCGGGUUGUAAAGUACUUUCAGCGGGGAUGCGUUACCCGCAGAAGAAGCACCGGCUAACUCCGUGCCAGCAGCCGCGGUAAUUC
rnacentral:rRNA from 1 species